UACGAAGGGGGCGAGCGUUGUUCGGAAUUACUGGGCGUAAAGGGCGCGUAGGCGGCGAACCAAGUCAGAUGUGAAAGUCCUGGGCUUAACCUGGGGUGACUGCAUUUGAUACUGGUUUGCUUGAAUUCGGGAGAGGAUAGCGGAAUUCCCAGUGUAGAGGUGAAAUUCGUAGAUAUUGGGAAGAACACCGGUGGCGAAGGCGGCUAUCUGGACCGACAUUGACGCUGAGGCGCGAAAGCGUGGGGGAGCAAACAGGG
rnacentral:rRNA from 1 species